rnacentral:lncRNA from 1 species
GAAAAUUGAUUUUGGCUAACUCUGAAGCCUUGGUUUUGAUAACCAUAGCCUCUCCCAUGACCAUUGUUACUUGAGAUAGGACCAGGACUAGUCUUCCUUCUAGCCUUCCAAUCAGGAGGAUAACCAUGUAGCUUGUAACACAUAGCACUGGUAUGACCAUCCCAGUUGCAAUAAUCACAAUGCAGGGUACUAGUAGAGUGUUUCUUAAGCUUGGACUGAGACUGAGACCCUUAGACCUCCGAAGGAAUCUUACCUUUUUCACUAAAAAACACCAUGGCAUCACUCAUAUCUCCAGUACUAGAAGAGCUAGAUAUGUCAACAGCAUUAGCCUUGCCUAGAGUUCUUUGACUUUAUUUCUUCAGCUAGAACAAGAGAAUAUGCUUUAUUUACAGUAGGUGGUGGAUCAAGCAUCAUAACUUGAAUUCUACACUGAUUAUAGGACUCAUUCAACCCAACUAAAAACUGCACUAUCCUUUGAUAAUCUGCAUAGAUUUUGGAUUCUGCCCAAUUGCAACCAGGACAAGGCAUUAGAGAGUCAUAUUCCAUCCAUAACUCCUUUAAUCUGGAGAAAUAGUGUGCUACAGAAGCAGUUCCUUGUGUUAGGAUAGCAAUUUUCUUGUGCGGGUAGAAAUUUCUCAAUCCAUC